rnacentral:rRNA from 1 species
UACGUAGGUGGCGAGCGUUGUCCGGAUUUACUGGGCGUAAAGAGCGCGCAGGCGGUCGUUCAAGUCGCGUGUGAAAGCCCCCGGCUCAACUGGGGAGGGUCACGCGAUACUGAUCGACUCGAAGGCAGGAGAGGGUAGUGGAAUUCCCGGUGUAGUGGUGAAAUGCGUAGAUAUCGGGAGGAACACCAGUGGCGAAGGCGACUACCUGGCCUGUUCUUGACGCCGAGGCGCGAAAGCUAGGGGAGCAAACGGG